rnacentral:misc_RNA from 1 species
GAAAUGCGAUACUUGGUGUGAAUUGCAGAAUCCCGUGAACCAUUGAGUCUUUGAACGCAAGUUGCGCCCCAAGCCGUCAGGCCGAGGGCACGCCUGCCUGGGUGUCACGCAUCGUUGCCCCCCACCGUCUACAGACGUGUGCGGGGAGCGGAGAUUGGCCUCCCGUGAGGGUGUUCCCUCGCGGUUGGCCCAAACACAGGUCCCGGCCGAGGAAGCCGCGACUUUCGGUGGUUGUUAACAAACAGACAUGCCUUGUCGUGCUCUCCUCGUGCCUUUUGCGGCACCCUCGACCCUAAGAAGGGCCAGUGCACUCUUUGAGUCAGUUGCGCUCGCUUUGCGACCCCAGGUCAGGCGGGACUACCCGCUGAGUUUAAGC